UGCACGGUGCACAGUGCACAGUGAAACGCUGACAUUGUUUUGAAUUCGUUUUGUGCACCUAUCAACAUCUGUUUAUGAAAACAAACCUGGUUGUAUUGGUUUCCAUAAGCCGAAGAGAUGAGGGGAGCCAGGCUUCUGGACGGAGAGGAGUGAAGGAGUGAGGCGUAGAGAAAGAGAAACUUCGGGAGGGAGCGGUCCGAAGAGGAAACUCUGGGAAACAUGUCCCUCUCGGCCAAACUGGAGAGAAACGUGUGCGUCCUGCUUCCCAACAAGGUGCAGCUGGACAUUACCGUGGGGGUGAAAGCCAUCGGGCAGGAGGUGUUCAACCACGUCUCCGAGCUCCUCGGGGUAAAAGAGCUGCACUUCUUCGGGCUGACGGUGGUGAAGGACAAUGAACACAUAUUCCUGGAUCUGGAAGAAAAGCUGACCAAGUACUUCCCCAAGGAAUGGAAGCAGGACACGGGGAAGGGCACCCAGAGACGGGCCCUGCCCCUGCUGCUGUUCCUGAAGGUGCAGUACUACGUGGAGAACGGCCGGCUCAUCUGUGACCGUAAGGCGCGGCGGCUGUACUGUGCUGACCUGCGGGAGCGUGUUCUGCGGUCCGAGUGUCGCCAGCAGGAGGCGCUGUACUUCCAGCUGGCCGGAUACGCGCUGCAGGCCGAGCUGGCCGACUGUCCCCAGCCCGGGCAAGCCAACGGGGAGGUCCCGUACUUCCAGCCCAAAGACUACUUCCCUACCUGGAUCGUGGCGAAGCGGGGCUGCGAGUACCUCCUGCGCCACGGGCCGAAGGUGCACCGGGAGCUGAGGGGCAUGUCGGCGCGCGACGCCGUCCUGCUGUUCAUCCGCGAGGCCUGCCGUCUGGAGGACGUGCCCGUCACCUUCUACCGGCUGCAGAAGGACAAGCGGGAGGAGAAGGGGUCUGCACUCCUGGGCCUGACGCUGAGAGGAAUGCAGGUUUAUCAGGAGGUGAACAACAUACGCCAGCUGCUGUAUGAUUUCCCCUGGUCUAAUGUGGGACGCCUCACCUUCCUGGGCAAGAAGUUUGAGAUCCAGCCGGACGGCUUGCCCUCGGCCCGGAAGCUGGUGUACUACACGGGCUCCCCCUUCCGCUCCCGACACCUGCUGCAGCACCUGAGCAACAGCCACCGGCUCUACCUGAACCUCCAGCCCGCCCUUAAGCACCUGCGCCACCUGGAGGAGACGGAGGAGAAGAAGCGGUACCGAGAGUCCUACAUCAGCGACGACCUGGACCUGGAGCCCACGGCGAGCGAGGGGAGCCCGGGCCUGUCCCGCCGGUCCACCAGCAGCUCGGGCAUCGAGGCGGACUCGCGCCAGCGCCGCGCCUCCGUGGAGAUGCCCUCCGUGGAGGAGGAGGAGGCGGGGGAGGAGGCGCUGCUCCAGCGGGCGGCCAGCCGAGGGAGCUCCCACACCUCCGGCGUGGACACCGGCAGCAAGGCCCGCACCGAGGAGGAGGACUGGCAGGAGGACGAGAUGCAGCUCAGCGUGGAUGAGCCGGAGGAGGUGUCCGUGGAUGAGCCCGAGAUGCAGCGAUUGGUCGAGCUGCUGGAGGGCGUGUCUGUGGACAGCCCCGUGUUCACACCCGAGACCCACUGGGGAGAUGUUACAGAGCAAGCAGUGGACGGACCAGACUGCCAGGUGAAAAUGCGCAGCUCCGAUUCCCUGGAGCAGGUGCUGAAGUGGAGGGCUCGAGGCGCCGUGGACAGACACAGCCAGAGCCUGGAUGACGUGCGUCUCUUCCAGCCCCCCGCCCCGCUGAGCACCACCCUCCAGACCGACACCUCCCACAGCUACACCUUCGGCCUGCCAGACCCCAAACUGGACCUCCAGGGGCCCCUGAACCAUGGCUGCCACCCCCUCCAUUACCCCGCCAAGCCCUCCUUCUACGGCCGCAGGUCCAUGAACUGCCUCGCCCUGGACCUUCUGGGGGACGAGCAGCUGCUGGAGUUCAUCCUGUGAGCACCAGAGGGCGCCACUGAGCGGCACAUUUUUUUCCCCCCCCGGGGGAGUUUGCAGUGUGCUCGGGACAAUAACACUGGGUGCAGAUCUUCCGGUUCUAAAGGACGGAAUGCCUUCAUGAGUGCAAAUGAACAUAAUUGCGAACGCGGUUGUGUGAGUGUGUGCGAGCGUGAGCAUGUGUGUGUGUGUGUGUGUAAAUAUUUGACAUUGUUUUCACACCCCACCCCCCCUCCACACCGCUCCUGUCCUGCUGGGCCAGCAGGUUUUCAGCUCCGCUCAGCGGGGGACCGCACGGUGAAAGAGAGGCUCUGAACUGUUGCCUGGAGACAGCGCUCUAAACUGUAAACACAAAGUCCCCUCGUUUGCCAUCACCCACUUCGGGGACAAGGAAAACCGGGGUGAAUGGUGGUACUGCUGAAUAAGAGAGAGAGAGAGGGCUAAGUGGCAGACAUACUCAGAAGCCUACCCUGGAUUUGGUCUCGGUCUCUUCCAGCGAAAGUCGCCGGUCUGUUUUCAACAGACAUGAAACCGAGUUCUUGUUUUUGUUUAUUCUGUGCGCCGUUAACGAGACCGUCGCUGUCUGAGGCUGAACUGAAGGCGCCCGGCUGAGCGUAACGAUCCUGGAGUGAAGAAGAAGUGUUGUGACGGCUUCAGCAGCAGCGCUUUGUUGAUACUGACACAGAACACAGAUGUGCUAUUACAGAUGAGAUAUUCUCAUGUGGAAAUGUACAAUCUCCACCAUUACAAACGGCAGCAAAACACUUUGUGAAUGCGCGCUGCACUAGUGCAUUUGUUUGAACACGGUGAACUCUAGAUUUCAUGCACACAUUCAGUACAUUAAUUAAUGUGUUCGUGCACAUGCAAUGUCACACCAGUAUUUACAAUUUUGCACAUGCUUUUUGUAAAUGCAUGCACAUGUGCUAAAGAUUAUACACCAUAAUUCCUGCAAAUAAUUUGUACAUGCAUUAUGCACAGUAGGGUUCUACAUUGUGAACUUUUCCCAUUUCAAAUGUGCAUAAUCACUUAGGAUUCUAGACGGUGACUAAACGUAUGAUUUAGGAAUGCGUAUAUGAACAUCGGAUCCUGCAUUACAUUUUACAGAUGAUUUGUACACAUAAGAUUCAACACUGCAACAUCUGCCACGCAGGCGGUCUGUAAAUGCAUAUGCGCACUUAAAGGUUUACACUACAACUUUGCAGAUAAUCUGUGAAUUAAUAUUUGCACGUAGGGUUCCACACUGCAGCUUCUGCUUAUGAUCUCUAAAUGGGUGUGCGCACGUAGGGUUCCACACUGCAGCUUCUGCUGAUGAUCUGUAAAUGGGUGUGUGCACGUAGGGUUCCACACUGCAGGUUCUGCUGAUGAUCUAUAAAUGGGUGUGUGCACGUAGGGUUCCACACUGCAGCUUGUGCUGAUGAUCUGUAAAUGGGUGUGUGCACGUAGGGUUACACACUGCAGCUUCUGCUGAUGAUCUGUAAAUGGGUGUGUGCAUAUAGGGACCCAGUGUUGAGUUCUGGGGUAAAUGGAGCUGGUGCUUUUGCAGUGUCCCCAGCGCUCCUACAAAGGGUUCGAGCCGAGCAUGGCUGUCGCUGGAAAAUUUAUUUUCAAUUAGCUGCCAUUUUGCCAUGCCAUUGCCACCUUGCUCAUUGUCAACUGAGAUGCUGAGAUUCCCCUGUAUAAUUCCAUGUCUUCCACUUCAUCUUAUUAUUGUUGAUGUAUUAUUUAUUUAUAUGUAGGCGUGAGGAUUUUACAUUGUUGUAAAGAAUGGGACACUUACCAGACUUAAUGAUAAAUGCAGCCAGUAUUAACUAUUCAGGUGGUGACUUCCCACCGCAACGUUUUCCAUUUUACUACCAGAAUUCCUUGCACCUUUAUUUUUUAUUUUUUUAACUGUUUUUAACUCUGUACGCCUUCCUUUUUCGUAACAAUGGGGAUGGUCUGUAUUACCUUUUAAGAUUAGAACAACGGAAGAAUCCGUUAACACGACAUGUAUAAUUGUACAUACAUUGUUUUAUGAGUGAAUGGCUUUCUUGGAAACGCUGCUGCGUCCAACUCUGAGGACGACUGCAGUGAUUUCAUUGGACUGUCCAUAUUAAGCCAGCACAUGCAAUAUUUUACACAUUGAUGAAUGUAUAAUCCAGCGAGUAAUCAAUCAAUUAUGAAUUAUCCUCCCAACCAUCUUUAUAUUCUUGUUUUUAUAUUAAAAUGUAUUCUACUAUAAACACUA